GACGUAGGGCGCGAGCGUUGUCCGGAUUUAUUUUUCUUAAAGAGCUCGUAGGCGGCUUGUCGCGUCGGCUGUGAAAACCCGCGGCUCAACUGUGGGCGGGCAGCUGAUACGGGCAGGCUGGAGUUCGGUAGGGGAGACUGGAAUUCCUGGUGUAGCGGUGAAAUGCGCAGAUAUCAGGAGGAACACCGGUGGCGAAGGCGGGUCUCUGGGCCGAUACUGACGCUGAGGAGCGAAAGCGUGGGGAGCGAACAGG
rnacentral:rRNA from 1 species